UACGUAGGGUGCAAGCGUUGUCCGGAAUUAUUGGGCGUAAAGAGCUCGUAGGCGGUCUGUCGCGUCUGCUGUGAAAACUCAGGGCUUAACCCUGAGCUUGCAGUGGGUACGGGCAGACUAGAGUGCGGUAGGGGAGACUGGAAUUCCUGGUGUAGCGGUGAAAUGCGCAGAUAUCAGGAGGAACACCUGAGGCGAAGGCGGGUUGCUAGGCUGACACUGACGCUGAGUGCGCGAAAGCCAGGGGAGCAAACGGG
rnacentral:rRNA from 1 species